rnacentral:misc_RNA from 1 species
GCAGGGUCCAAUGCAUGCAGGUCAUUAGUUCAUCAUUAUCUCUCUUCAGUUUCUUCACUUUUAAUUCUAUAGUGGUGUAAAAUGAAAAUUAUUUUGAUUAAAAUGACUCUUUGUUAUUUUACUUAUGUUUAAAAAUUAAAAUUUUAUAAGAGUAAUUCAAUUGAUUUUUUUAUUAAUUUUCAUAAAAAUUUUAAUUUUAAAAUUUUAAAAUAAAUUUAUUUAAAAAUUAAAAAUUAAAAGAAUAAUAGAAUUUUCUAAAAUGAUUUUAAAUUAAUUUUAAAAACUUCCUGUAAAAUAAAAUAAAUAUUGUGAAGUAAAAUUUAAAAUCCUAACAUUUACCAUAUUUCUCUAUUUUUUUUUCUAUUUUUUAGUAUUUUUCUCUGUUUUUAGAAUAUAUGAAUGAAAAUAUCUAGAAUUCAAACUUUAUUUACUAUAUUGUCAUGAUUUUUAAAUUAAUAUUACAACUUUUCUUUAAAUUUUAAUUGUUUAUAAUAUAUUUUUUAAAAUUGUAUAAUAAUAUGUUAUUAAAGUAGAAAUUGAUAAAGAAUAGCUUGAUGUGCCUCCAUUCACAUUAGGUGGUGUUUAGUAUGAGAUUAAUAAGAGUAAUUACUGUAAUCAUAAUUUACUUUUUUAAAAAUUAAAAUUUAUAAGAUAAUAUUUAAUUAGAAAUAUUUGAUAUGAGAUUAAUAAGGGUAAUAAUUACUUGUAAUUUUUAAUUAUUGUUUAGAUACCUACAAAAAUUAGAUUAAUUUUUAAUUUCAUUGGUAUUUAUGUUAACUUUAGAGUGUAAAUUAAUAAUUAUCAUCUUUAAAAAGUUAAAAUUUAUAAAACUAACAUUCAAUUCUUGAUUUUUUUAAUUUUUUACAAAAUAUAAUUUUUAUUUUUUAUCAAACAGGAUGAGAGUGGAAAGAUAUUAAGUUUGAGAAUUUUUAUUUAUUUAUUAUAAAAUUUUUUAUUUUUAUGACGAGAAAUAGGGAGGAUUAGCUUUCACUUUGUAGUUGAUUACUUCCUUGAUAUAGUAGUAUGAUGAAUUAGUGCGAAAAUGGGAGUGUAGGUAUGGCCACCACGUGGGAAG